CAGGCCUAACACAUGCAAGUCGAACGGUAGCAGGAGAAAGCUUGCUUUCUUGCUGACGAGUGGCGGACGGGUGAGUAAUGCUUGGGAAUCUGGCUUAUGGAGGGGGAUAACUACGGGAAACUGUAGCUAAUACCGCGUAGAAUCGGAAGCUGAAAGUGCGGGACCGCAAGGCCGCAUGCCAUGAGAUGAGCCCAAGUGGGAUUAGGUAGUUGGUGGGGUAAAGGCCUACCAAGCCUGCGAUCUCUAGCUGGUCUGAGAGGAUGGCCAGCCACACUGGAACUGAGACACGGUCCAGACUCCUACGGGAGGCAGCAGUGGGGAAUAUUGCGCAAUGGGGGGAACCCUGACGCAGCCAUGCCGCGUGAAUGAAGAAGGCCUUCGGGUUGUAAAGUUCUUUCGGUAUUGAGGAAGGUUGAUGUGAUAAUAGUACAUCAAAUUGACGUUAAAUACAGAAGAAGCACCGGCUAACUCCGUGCCAGCAGCCGCGGUAAUACGGAGGGUGCGAGCGUUAAUCGGAAUAACUGGGCGUAAAGGGCACGCAGGCGGUUAUUUAAGUGAGGUGUGAAAGCCCCGGGCUUAACCUGGGAAUUGCAUUUCAGACUGGGUAACUAGAGUACUUUAGGGAGGGGUAGAAUUCCACGUGUAGCGGUGAAAUGCGUAGAGAUGUGGAGGAAUACCGAAGGCGAAGGCAGCCCCUUGGGAAUGUACUGACGCUCAUGUGCGAAAGCGUGGGGAGCAAACAGGAUUAGA
rnacentral:rRNA from 1 species